rnacentral:tRNA from 1 species
GGGCUGUUGGCGAAAUUGGUAGACGCAAGGGUCAUUUAUAACCUAUCAAACUUGUCCGAUAGGAAUGCCGAUAGGUUUACAUUUUUAAAUUGAAAACUUAAGGACAACCCUCGAUUUGCAGGUUCGACUCCUGCACAGCCCG